rnacentral:hammerhead_ribozyme from 1 species
CUACUGACGAGUCCCAAACAGGACGAAACAGCUGUCGGUUAU